GACGAACGCUGGCGGCGUGCUUAACACAUGCAAGUCGAACGGAAAGGCCCUGCUUGCAGGGUGCUCGAGUGGCGAACGGGUGAGUAACACGUGGGUGAUCUGCCCCUUACUUUGGGAUAAGCCUGGGAAACUGGGUCUAAUACUGGAUAGGACCAUGCUGUAGGUGGUGUGGUGGAAAGAUUAGUUUCGGUAAGGGAUGAGCUCGCGGCCUAUCAGCUUGUUGGUGGGGUAAUGGCCUAACAAGGCGUCGACGGGUAGCCGGCCUGAGAGGGUGGACGGCCACGUUGGGACUGCGACACGGCGCAGACGCCGACGGGAGGCAGCAGUGGGGAAUAUUGCACAACGGGCGCAAGCCUGAUGCAGCGACGCCGCGUGGGGGAUGACGGCCUUCGGGUUGUAAACUCCUUUCAGCCAUGACGAAGCCCUUGUGGUGACGGUAGUGGUAGAAGAAGCACCGGCUAACUACGUG
rnacentral:rRNA from 1 species